rnacentral:lncRNA from 1 species
ACUGGGAUUUUUGGAGGGGAAAAUAGUAAAGGGAAUAACAUUUGAAAUGUAAAAAAAAAAAGAAAAAAGAAAAUAAAUAAUAAAAAAAAGAAUGAAAUAAAUUAUUCGUAGUAUUCUUGAAAUAAAUUCAAGUUUUACAAACAUAUCAUUGGAACAAUGUUCAGGUAUUUUCCGUUGGCAAAAUAAUAACAAGUUAUUUUUUAUCAACAUAUUGUGACUACAGUGCCAAGAAUAGUUAUAUAUUAGUUGCUAAAACUCUGGUAUAGGAAUAUAUAGAUAUAGGUAAAAUUUCAAAUGAAUUAUACAAAAUCUCUUAGAAAAGACUUCUUCCAAUUCAGCUGACUAGGUAAAAGUCUAGUGAACUGCAGGACACGCAAUUAAUACCCAACCCUGAAUAUGCAAUAACCUUCAGAAAGAGACUCCUCCGAAAUAUUUAUGUCAUCUUCUUCAUCAUCAAAGUCCAAAAGUAAUAAGUAAUCUCCUUUGGAAUCACCAUCAUUUUCUUAACAGCCAUUCUUCUCUUAAAAACUGUAAUGUCUUCUUAGUUAAAAAAAAUGGAAAACAAGGAAAAAAAAUCUUAGUAAUCUGAAUCCAAAGGUAUCAUUUAAGUAGUUAAAAAUAUCAAAAAUGAAAUAAUUAUAUGCACUUCCUCUUUCCAGUUCCUCCAUGUGUCCCAUUUAUUAUGUCCCUCUCCCUCACAACAUUGUUUUAAAAUCUUCUUUAACUUACUUCUAUAAAAAACUCCUUUAGAACCAGAGUUAACAAUAUGUCAGAUCCCAGUUUAAAUAAGGGGAAAAAGGCCAGCCUUGAAUAUGUGAGACUUCUUAACUACCCAAAGACGAUGAGGAAAAUGUAUUUGCAUUUAAUUUCUGAGUCAUCUGAUUCUUGUUCCUAUUUCCCACAGAUUCUUUUUAAACAAAACAUUAGCAAUUUUGUUUAUCAGUGUGUCUCUGUCUUUAAAUAAACUCACACUGCUAUCAAGAUAGAUAAUGAAUAUGGUAACUGUAUAUUCAUUUGAGAAGACCCAAAGCUCCCUCUACAAUAAACACCCAAAAGCACCAGCACCCACACAGAAAGACCUUCUAUUGGAGAAAGCAGGGAUUUGGGGAAGACUUGGUUUUCAAAUAUCUGGAUAUUGUAAGUCCAAGGCCAGCCCAAACCAAGACAGCCUGAGCUACAAACGAAGAACCCAUCCUACAGAAGGAAAUCGGAGAGAAAAGGCUGAUCUCCGUGGUGCAAGUCUUUAAUAGAAAUACUUGGGGAAUGAGAGGGGAGGAUCUGUGGUCAGAAUCCAUCUUAGAAGACUUAUGAAUCUUCUGCAUUGUCUGCUCUUAUUCUUUUCAUUUAUUCUUCCUAUGCCACUCCCCUUUCUGUAGUAUCCAUACAGUCUCUACCAAAGAAAUACACACUAGAGAAGACAGUGAGGGUAGAGGAAUCCUCAGUGUGUCUCUAAUAGAUUUUGGACUACACACAGGACAAGUGCCAAUUUCAACCCUAAGGUCUCUUUCAGCACAUAGGACAAUCGCCAAGACUCCUCACCAAUGGCACCCUGAUCCCCUGACCCCCAGUCCUGCAGCCGGCUCUCUGAUCCUCUCCCUAGGCCCCAAGCUUGUGUCCUCCAAGGGUUUUCAAUCCUCUAAGCCCCUGUCCCGUUCAAUCCUGUGCAAUGAAUAUGAUCCUCCUCCUUCAUUUUACCCUCAGAAGCCAUAGGAAAUGCCGAUCGGGAGGCUUUUCCUCACAGAGUGGCCUCCUGAGACUGAGAUUUCCCACCAGUCACACAUCUGUUAAUAGUCCAAUUACCCUGAUCAGAGCUGGUUAUCAGUAGCAGGUCAUUCAAAAGUGAACACCUUCACAACUGAACCCUUCCUUGCUUGGCUGCUC